AGCGAACGCUGGCGGCAGGCCUAACACAUGCAAGUCGAACGGACCCUUCGGGGUUAGUGGCGGACGGGUGAGUAACACGUGGGAACGUGCCUUUAGGUUCGGAAUAGCUCCUGGAAACGGGUGGUAAUGCCGAAUGUGCCCUUCGGGGGAAAGAUUUAUCGCCUUUAGAGCGGCCCGCGUCUGAUUAGCUAGUUGGUGGGGUAAUGGCCCACCAAGGCUACGAUCAGUAGCUGGUCUGAGAGGAUGACCAGCCACAUUGGGACUGAGACACGGCCCAAACUCCUACGGGAGGCAGCAGUGGGGAAUCUUGCGCAAUGGGCGAAAGCCUGACGCAGCCAUGCCGCGUGUAUGAUGAAGGCCUUAGGGUUGUAAAGAUCUUUCAGGUGGGAAGAUAAUGACUGUACCACCAGAAGAAGCCCCGGCUAACUCCGUGUCAGCCGCCGCCGUAACAC
rnacentral:rRNA from 1 species